CUUUUCAAUGGAACCAAAUCUCCUUUCUUUAUCAAAGCCUAAAAGAUCCGUAUUAGCUAAUAUGGGUAUUAACCAUUCUUUAUCAAAACUCUGAGUUACUCCCUCUUAUCUUCUUCUCUCUACACAUGAUUUUUUUUUUUCCUUCUCUCUUCUUCCUCCCAAAUCACCUAUCUGUCCUGUGAUUUGAACUCCUUCACACCCCAGCCUCAAUAUCGAUCAAAGAAAGAUUUGGAACUCAAGAACAUUUGCCUCCGAUUUGCAUGAGAGAUUAAAAAAAAAAAAAAAAAAAAGGGAGCUCAAGAGCUCAAACGCUAUUUGUGAUCUCUGUGGGUUGGUGGAUGUGCUAAAGAUAGACGGUUGCAGUUUUGAAACUGUGUUCUAUUUAUUUUUUUUGGUUUCUGGUACUACAAAAUCAUGGUUGCUGUGAAAAUUGGGUUUUUUACUCAGAUGGGUCAGAAUAUUUGGUGCCAUAUUUAGAUUAUAUGAAUGAAAGUUUGGAUAUUUUUAGUCUGAUUGGUUGAAUUUGUGUUGUGUUUGCUAUCUGUAGGUGUUCUUCUUUGCAAUUAUCUUUGCACGUGAGAUUGAAAGUUUGGAUUUUUACUCAGAUUAGAUAAUUUUUGUGUGUUAAUAUUUGCUAUUAGGUGUUCUUUUGUCAUAUCAUGUAUGUAAUUAUGUAUGUAUGUAGAUGAAUGAAAGUUUGGGUUUUUUUUAUUUUUUAUUUUUUUACUAAUAUCCUAUGAAUUUUGUGUAUGCAGGUGUUCUUUCUGUGGAGUAGGAUUAGAAUGCCUUUUUGGUUGUUGGAGGUAAGGAGGUUAGAGGCUCUAUCUUUGAUUUGAAGGGGCCCUGUGGUUUACCCCGAGCCUUGGUGAGUCGGGGUAUUGGCUAAAAAUCCACUGAGGUCCUUGAGAUGGCACGAGGAUUGUUCUUGAGAAGUUCGAUGUUUUAAGGGAUUGAAGACCAACAUUACCAAAGAGCUCAAUGCCAGGCACAAAAGUUUUCUAUGGCUCCCACUAAAGGAUAGCAGUUUUCUAUGGCUCCCACUAAAGGAUAUGUCACUUUUGUUAGAUAAAGCUAGCGAUUAUGGACUGUGGCUAUGAUUUGUUGAGCUUCUCUGAGUUGUGAAACUGAAGCUCUCUCUCUUUCCAAAGAGUACCGAUCACACAUGCAGCAGAACAACAUCCUGAUGAGGUCAGAUUUUCAAGGUUCGAGGACAUGAAAGCAAAUGUCCAUAAGCGAGGUAGCUCCAUGGCACCACAGUCCGUGUUCGAAGACUGAACGAGGCCUGAGAAGAUCGUCCGUGUUUGAAGAACAACGCCUCAUCGAAGCUCUGAACCAGGCCGGAAUCUUCACCGGCGAGUGUAGCUCUCUGUCACCGUGUCCAUACUUCUCUCUCCCUUUCCCAGUUUUGGGGUGGCUUUGCUUCAGUGUUCGGCUUGGUUUCAACACAGUUUCUUGAGGGCUUCAGUGGUAUUUUUAGGAACUGUUGCAGCCCCUGCACUGGUGUGGAGAAGAGAGACACAGAGAGAGAGAGAACGCGGGCAUUUGAUGAAGAGCUUCUAUUAUAGCAUAUGACAACAUUAAUUGCGAAAAAUUAAAUAUUUUUACAAUGUUGUAGCAAAACUUGGUUGGUUAUUGUUGAAGGAUGAUAUUUGUAACUUGUAAGCAUUCUUAGAAGUUUUUAUUGAAUGGAUAUUGCUUUUAACAAAUAUGUUCUAAAAGACUAUCAUAGUAUAAUAGAUAUUCUUAUUUGAAUGUAUAAUCUAAAUUUGUGUAAUUAAAAUUCUUAUCUGAAUGAGAUUAGCAUUAUAUAACAUACAUUUUUUUUCGUACAUAGUUUCAUAUUUCUUUAAAUAAAAACUCUAUAUUGAUUUUCUUUCUCAAGUCAAGGGGCAGGGCAGCACGUGCCUUGCACGUGCCACCCAACUUAGUAAUUUUUUAAAACCCUAGAGCAUGAUAAUACGGAAAUACCCCUCCCCUAUUUUAUUCUUCCCUUUUCUUUUCUUCAGUUCAGCCGCCCCCUUCCCCAACUUAUUCUCUCAAUUUUUUCUGUCUUUUUUCUUGGAAUCAUUGGUGCGAUUCACACACACACACAGAGCAAAAUGGAAGAAGAAGAUUUCUCAAGCUUUCUUCACUCAAAUUCUUCAGUCUCUCUGAUCUCUCUCUCUCCGAGUUUCUUCUCUUCGCUUCAGAUCGAUGAAGACCAACUGUAACAGAUCUCUACUUCCCUGAACUUUCUUAUAUCUCAGAUUCUUGUAUAAUCGGGUGAUCUGUUGGAAUCAUCGGUGCGAUUCACACACACACAGAGCAAAAUGGAAGAAGGAGCUUUCUUAAGCUUUCUUCACUCAAAUUCUUCAGUCUCUCUGAUCUCUCUCUCUCUCUCUUCGAGUUUCUUCUCUUUGCUUCAGAUCGAUGAAGACCAACUGUAACAGAUCUCUACUUCCCUAAUCUUUCGUAUAUCUCAGAUUCUUAUAUAAUCGGUGAGUGUUUUUUACACUUUAGGCUGUCUUUGUUUUGUUUCGUUUAUACUGUGAUUUUUUUUUUUCAAGCGAACAGUGAUUUUGCUUUAGGGUGAUC